rnacentral:rRNA from 1 species
UACAGAGGGUGCGAGCGUUGUCCGGAAUCACUGGGCGUAAAGGGCGCGUAGGCGGCUUGAUAAGCGUGCGGUGAAAGCCCGGGCUCAACCCCGGGUCGGCCGUGCGAACUGUCGAGCUGGAGCACUGUAGAGGCAGGUGGAAUUCCGGGUGUAGCGGUGGAAUGCGUAGAGAUCCGGAAGAACACCGGUGGCGAAGGCGGCCUGCUGGGCAGUGGCUGACGCUGAGGCGCGACAGCGUGG